rnacentral:misc_RNA from 1 species
CUCGCCGGUUGUGGUAGAUCACUACCAUAGUCUCCACUACACUCGUCAUCACCACACUGCAGGUCGCAAGUGCACCACUUAACAUCACAAUGGCAAGGAGAAUUGUAGUGAACGCCAUAGGAGGCUAUGAUCAAAUAAAGAACUGACCAAUCAGAAGCGAGAGAAGUAGUCCUGGUCUCCGUUUACGCUAUCUUGGUUGUUUGGGUACAUCACGGAGGAGCUAAAAUCAAAUAAAACUGACUGGCACCCUGUGUUCAGCUGGAAACUGCAUAUAAGAAGCGAAUAUGCUGUAUCUGGAAGACUUUCUGGAAGUGAUAGAGCAAAUUCCGCAAGAAAUACGUGAUCGGACUACAGACUUAAGGGAACUAGACCUGGGGAUCCAGAACACCUCAGACCAGUUAGAAGACCAGAUCAAAACCUUUUUCGGAAAUGCCAAAAAAAUGAAACCCCAGGAGCGAGAUGCCGAGUAUGAAAAAAUUAGAAAAGAAUACUACAAACUGCUUGACGACGCCGAUGAGAAGGUGAAUAUUGCCACGAACAUGCACGAUCUACUUGAACGUUACAUGAGAAAGUUGGACCAGGAGCUCGAAAAAUUUAAGUGCGAACUUGAAGCAGAUAGCCCGGGAAUUACGGAAGUUUUAGAGAAAAGGUCUUUGGAGUUAGACGAGCCUAUUAGAGACAAUCAGAAAGAAAAUCGCUACGUUACUAUGAACUCAAGCAGCAGCCGUAACACGGAACGUCGACAGUCGUCAACAUCGUCGACUGUGUCUGUUAAGAAAGAGGAAAGGACAGAACCUAAUCUGACAUCAAGCAUGUCAGUGUCCCCACCACCGGCAUCAACUAUUUCAUAUACACUGGGACACAUGGGAGCUGGUAGUAAUGCCAUUGCAGCUGCAGCAUCUCAGGCAAUUGCAGCAACGCAGCAGAUGCAGCAGGGCCGUCGUACAGCAAGUUUAAAGGCCUCGUACGAUGCAAUUACCUCUGGAGUUCAGCCUACAGAGUUUUCUAUAGGCAGUGAAUUAGCUAAUGCAGCACAAACAGCCUUGUUGGCUUCGGCUUUGCCACAGGAGACGUGCAGUAAUGCAAACACUAGUAGUACGAGUACAGGCUCAAGCAACAAGAAACAGAAAAAGAAGCAUACUUCAGUUAGCACUGUCGCUGCUACAACAGUCAUGGAAGCUUCACCUGCUCCCUCGGAGGAUCUCCUGCAGGAUGCACUAAUUGAUCCUAAUUCUGAAAAUCCUGACUGGACGUAUGACCCUAAUGAACCACGUUAUUGUAUCUGCAAUCAAGUUUCGUAUGGUGACAUGGUUGCCUGUGAUAAUCCUAAGUGCCCGGUUGAGUGGUUUCAUUAUCCAUGUGUUGGUAUCACUGCCCCACCAAAAGGUAAAUGGUACUGUCCCCAAUGUGCUGCUGCUAUGAAUAGACGAGCAAGAAAGUGAGACGAAGGGGGUGCUGAAUCAAAUGAUAGCACAUAGAAAAUAUUGAAAUGUACAGUACUAUGAAAUACAGCAUAAUGAUCAAGUUAACCUGGUGGAAGAUGAUUUGUGUUUUAAAUAAAAAAAUAUAAAUUAUAAUGAUCUAAAAACAAGAGGCUCAACAUAAUACAAUUAUAACUUGUAAGGUUGAAGAUGGCCCUCUCCCUCCAGCUCCCACUGAAAACCAAGUUACUGUUGAAGUUAAGGCUUGUGGACUGAACUUUUAUGACAUAUAUGUUCGUCAAGGUUUGAACCCUGAGAUACGGCCACCAUGUACUCUUGGAUUGGAAUGUGCAGGCAUUGUGACAGCUGUUGGAGUAAAUGUUGGUUCAGUCAAUGUUAGUACACAAAUUGUCAGUACUAGUACAUAUUUAUAUCUAAUAUAGAUAGUGCUUGUUCUCAUUUGGUUUGAUUUUACACAGUAAGUGCUGAGCUGGUUGUUAUGGCCAGCUGUAAAAUUGGUUUAAGUGUUUGGAAGCCAAGUGUUUCUUUACUAAUACAGUAUUGGUGCAUUACUUAGUAUUAUUAUUAUUAGUUUCUUACACAGUACAUAAAAUUAUAUGAUAAACUUUUUUCUUAAGUAUUGUACUGUAUUACUAGUAAGUGAUGAAGAAUCUUUUUAAUAAAAUAUCAUAUCCAUGUUAUUUAUUGUUUAAAAACGUUAAUGAUUAAUUGUUGAACAACAAAUAUCCAUCACUGUGAUACUAAAAGCAUUCACAAUUUUUCAUGCAGUGGAAUCCUGCUCAAAUGGAACUCAUUCUACCAGAAAUCCGAAUGUAAUGGAAGAAUUCAAUUUCAUUAUUAUGAUUGUUAGACUUAGUUGUAAUAGAAAUAAAUAAUGAGUUUCAAUAACAAUUUCAUGCAUUUGUUGGACUUAAAUUCUCAGGGUUUAGAUUUGGUUGGUUUUGUCUUGGAUGUCAGAGCACCCCGCCUCUCUACCAUGGUCAACACUAUUAUUGCUGUGCCUUCAUUUUCAGCAGGCACAGUAGAGAUCUCAUAUUUUCUAUAAGGCAACAUGAACUUUUCCUGGGAUUGGACUUUAUGGAUAGGUCGACUUUGACUUCUUGGAAUUUCUUUCUCAGGCCAGUGCACAUUCAGGGUGUGUCAGACAUAUUUGUGAAUGGUCUAUCAUCCUUCUGUGGGAUCUCAAUGGAUUGGCCAGUGGAUGCAUCUUCCUCUGCUUUACAAGAUGUCCAGCCAUCUGCUGGUGGACCUGUUUGCCUUUGCAUCAAAUUAGCAGCUUCUGGUCUACAUAAUGCUGUUUCUAGAUCAUAAAGCCUUUGCAGUGGAUGCCCUUUGUCUGGUCUAGAGUUAGUGGUCUUAACUUUACUGUACUUCUACUCUCCAGGCUAGCUUUUUUUUCCUGAAUGAGACUGCAUCUAGGAAUUAUUGAAUAUUUUGCAAUACAUACAGUGAAUUAAAGAAUUCCAGGCUUAGUAUUUUUGAUAAUUACAGUACUCGCUUGCUUGCUUAUGAAUCUUGGUUGGAGUCUCCAACAGUUUGUGAAAACAGAGAGUUUAGGGCUCUUUAGCUCAUCCCUAUAGGAUGGCACAUUAUUUGUUUAAUAUUCUUUGGUCAGAAGAGGAGCUUCAGAAAACACACUGAACUACCUUCUUGAUUGGCGAGUACACAGAGCAUUGUUGCCAACACCACCAAAGUUAUUGUCUCCCCAAGAAGAUAAAAGAUAUACUUGUAAAAUAAAUUUUUAUAGUGUUUUUAUCAUACACUUAUAAAUUUGUUGCCAUUUAUUCCUAUAAUAUUGUCUCUGUUAAAUACAGUGCAAUA